rnacentral:rRNA from 1 species
AACGAACGCUGGCGGCAGGCUUAACACAUGCAAGUCGAGCGCCCCGCAAGGGGAGCGGCAGACGGGUGAGUAACGCGUGGGAAUCUACCCAUCUCUACGGAAUAACGCAUGGAAACGUGUGCUAAUACCGUAUACGUCCUUCGGGAGAAGGAUUUAUCGGAGAUGGAUGAGCCCGCGUUGGAUUAGCUAGUUGGUGGGGUAAAGGCCUACCAAGGCGACGAUCCAUAGCUGGUCUGAGAGGAUGAUCAGCCACCCUGGGACUGAGACACGGCCCAGACUCCUACGGGAGGCAGCAGUGGGGAAUAUUGGACAAUGUGCGCAAGCCUGAUCCAGCCAUGCCGCGUGAGUGAUGAAGGCCCUAGGGUUGUAAAGCUCUUUCACCGGUGAAGAUAAUGACGGUAACCGGAGAAGAAGCCCCGGCUAACUUCGUGCCAGCCGCCGCGGUAACAC